rnacentral:rRNA from 1 species
GUUAAUUGAUGAAAGGAAGCCUUUAAAGCUUCGCUUGUAGAUGAGUCUGCGUCUUAUUAGCUAGUUGGUGGGAUAAGAGCCUACCAAGGCUAUGAUAAGUAACCGGCCUGAGAGGGUGAUCGGUCACACUGGAACUGAGAUACGGUCCAGACUCCUACGGGAGGCAGCAGCUAAGAAUCUUCCGCAAUGGGCGAAAGCCUGACGGAGCGACACUGCGUGAACGAAGAAGGUCGAAAGAUUGUAAAGUUCUUUUAUAAGUGAGGAAUAAGCUUUGUAGGAAAUGACAAAGUGAUGACGUUAAUUUAUGAAUAAGCCCCGGCUAAUUACGUGCCAGCAGCCGCGGUAAUACGUAAGGGGCGAGCGUUGUUCGGGAUCAUUGGGCGUAAAGGGUGAGUAGGCGGAUAUGCAAGUCUAUGUGUAAAAUACCACAGCUCAACUGUGGAACUAUGCUGGAAACUGCAUGACUAGAGUCUGAUAGGGGAAGUUAGAAUUCCUGGUGUAAGGGUGGAAUCUGUUGAUAUCAGGAAGAAUACCAGAGGCGAAGGCGAACUUCUAGGUCAAGACUGACGCUGAGUCACGAAAGCGUAGGGAGCAAACAGGAUUAGAUACCCUGGUAGUCUACGCUGUAAACGAUGCACACUUGGUGUUAAUCGAAAGGUUAGUACCGAAGCUAACGUGUUAAGUGUGCCGCCUGGGGAGUAUGUUCGCAAGAAUGAAACUCAAAGGAAUUGACGGGGGCCCGCACAAGCGGUGGAGCAUGUGGUUUAAUUCGAUGAUACGCGAGGAACCUUACCAGGGCUUGACAUAUACAGGAUAUAGUUAGAGAUGACUAUUCCCCGUUUGGGGUCUGUAUACAGGUGCUGCAUGGUUGUCGUCAGCUCGUGCCGUGAGGUGUUGGGUUAAGUCCCGCAACGAGCGCAACCCUUAUUGUCUGUUACCAGCAUGUAAAGAUGGGGACUCAGACGAGACUGCCGGUGAUAAGCCGGAGGAAGGUGAGGAUGACGUCAAAUCAUCAUGGCCCUUAUGUCCUGGGCUACACACGUGCUACAAUGGCCUGUACAAAGCGAUGCGAAACAGUGAUGUGAAGCAAAACGCAGAAAGCAGGU